rnacentral:lncRNA from 1 species
AUGAUGAAAGAUUGUCAUAAGAUAGAUGCUUGCACAGAGGGUGGAAGGUAGAACAUAACUUUGGGUGUUCGGCAGUUACAUUUGUGGCUAACUGGCAAUGGUAGUCCUUCAAAUAGCUUGGUGGAACUCUAUUUCUAUUGGAUCUUCUGAGGAGAAUAUCAGCAUUGUGAUGUUCAUCCUGUGACAGUGACUCAUUUGGCAUGUUAAUGUCAACAGAACUGGAUGCUGGAGAGUUGGAAAGAUGACUCAUUUCCGGUUGACAUGGUAAAU